UAUCAUGAUGAACAAGAGCCAUGUGCUCGAUAUAAUCCCAGCUCGUCGACAGCAGCCUCAUUUACAAAUCUCACGUUAGAGGCUGUUAUGAGAGGAAGUCCAACUCUGACAU
rnacentral:snoRNA from 1 species